rnacentral:rRNA from 1 species
GACGAACGCUGGCGGCGUGCUUAACACAUGCCAGUCGAACGGAAAGGCCCUGCUUUUGUGGGGUGCUCGAGUGGCGAACGGGUGAGUAACACGUGAGUAACCUGCCCUUGACUUUGGGAUAACUUCAGGAAACUGGGGCUAAUACCGGAUAGGAGCUCCUGCUGCAUGGUGGGGGUUGGAAAGUUUCGGCGGUUGGGGAUGGACUCGCGGCUUAUCAGCUUGUUGGUGGGGUAGUGGUUUACCAAGGCUUUGACGGGUAGCCGGCCUGAGAGGGUGACCGGCCACAUUGGGACUGAGAUACGGCCCAGAAUCCUACGGGAGGCAGCAGUGGGGAAUAUUGCACAAUGGGCGGAAGCCUGAUGCAGCAACGCCGCGUGCGGGAUGACGGCCUUCGGGUUGUAAACCGCUUUCGCCUGUGACGAAGCGUGAGUGACGGUAAUGGGUAAAGAAGCACCGGCUAACUACGUG